rnacentral:rRNA from 1 species
UACGUAGGGGGCAAGCGUUGUCCGGAUUUACUGGGCGUAAAGAGCGCGCAGGCGGUCGUUCAAGUCGAGUGUGAAAGCCCCCGGCUCAACUGGGGAGGGUCACUCGAUACUGAUCGACUCGAAGGCAGGAGAGGGAAGCGGAAUUCCUGGUGUAGCGGUGGAAUGCGCAGAUAUCAGGAGGAACACCGGUGGCGAAGGCGGGUCUCUGGGCAGUAACUGACGCUGAGGAGCGAAAGCGUGGGGAGCGAACAGG